AACCGGCCCCUGGGCCACCUCUCACAAUUGAGCCCCCAGCCCUUGAACACACGCACACACGCACACACGCUGAGCUACCGCCAAUGCUUGAGCCCCCAGCCCUUACACACACCCAUACACGUGCACAAACACACACACACGCUGAACCAACUUCAACACUUGAGCCCCCAGCCCCUAGAGAGAGACACACACACACACGCUGAUGCGGGAGCAUUUAGCACAGUUUCCUUGCUGAAAAAGCAGGACCUCGGUUUAGAAAAUGGAAAUUGCCCAGGAGGAAAAGAGAGCUGAGAUAUAUGCAGCCCCAGGUGCCUCCUUCUAAUUCAUCUUCACCAUUGUGGUUGUCAAUAUGGCAUGCAGAAUUAUCCCUCUUUCCAGGUUUUCCCCAAGGACCCUGGACAAUGCUGGUUUUUCCUAUGUGCACCACCAAAGGGCCUAUCCAGUUGUCAUCCAAGCAAUUGUCCCCUGCUCCUUCAUACCCAUGCUAUCCCUGGCUCCCUCCCUCCUUCAUUGCAGAGCUGCAAUGGGGCAGAC
rnacentral:lncRNA from 1 species